rnacentral:rRNA from 1 species
AACGCGAAGAACCUUACCAGCUCUUGACAUCCUCUGACCCCUCUAGAGAUAGAGUUUUCCCCUUCGGGGGACAGAGUGACAGGUGGUGCAUGGUUGUCGUCAGCUCGUGUCGUGAGAUGUCGGGUUAAGUCCCGCAACGAGCGCAACCCUUGUCAUUAGUUGCCAUCAUUUAGUUGGGCACUCUAAUGGGACUGCCGGUGACAAGCCGGAAGAAGGUGGGGAUGACGUCAAGUCCUCAUGGCCCUUAUGACCAGGGCUUCACACGUCAUACAAUGGUCGGUACAGAGGGUAGCCAAGCCGCGAGGUGGAGCCAAUCUCACAAAACCGAUGUAGUCCGGAUUGCACUCUGCAACUCGAGUGCAUGAAGUCGGAAUCGCUAGUAAUCGCAGUCAGCA